UUGUAUUUGGCACUAAAUUUGCCUGGUUCGGUGUUGGAUAACUUUUCAUUUAAGUGAUGAAAAGUGUUCUAACUUUAUCCACGUGUGGACUUUCAUUCUACAAAAAUUGGUCGGUGAGGUCGGUUUAAAUUAUAAAAUGUUGUCGAAAACAUGGAAAAACAAGAAAAUAAAUAGAGCAAUAAUAUGAUUUUUAUACUUGAUAUAAAAUGGAACUAUCUUACUCUUCGUGGAGGAGCAAAGUCAUGAUAAUGCGUUUCCGUAUGAAGAUUUCAAUGCUCUCUCAAGGCCAUGGUAACACGUGCAUAAAAUGCUUAUAAAGGGAAUAAAUUCAUACCCAGCCUGAAGAUUGAAUAUUAGAUGAGCAUCUGUUGAGAAACUGUAUUCUUAUUUGAAAUACAACACAACACUUGCCUGAAGAGAUCACUCCAAAAUGUGCGUUAAAGUACACAAGAUGCUUGGAAGCGCGGGUGCGAAGUAAAUAAUAAAAAAUAAUAUGAUUUGUAACACUAUAAAUAAAAAUAAUUACAACUUGAAA